AGUGGGGAAUAUUGGACAAUGGGCGCAAGCCUGAUCCAGCCAUGCCGCGUGUGUGAAGAAGGCCUUAGGGUUGUAAAGCACUUUCAGUGGGGAGAAAGGUUAUUCACCUAAUACGUGAGUAAAUUGAUGUUACCCACAGAAGAAGCACCGGCUAACUCCGUGCCAGCAGCCGCGGUAAUACGGAGGGUGCAAGCGUUAAUCGGAAUUACUGGGCGUAAAGCGCACGUAGGUGGUUUGUUAAGCUAGCUGUGAAAUCCCCGGGCUCAACCUGGGCACUGCAGUUAGAACUGGCAAGCUAGAGUAGGGUAGAGGGGUGUGGAAUUCCAGGUGUAGCGGUGAAAUGCGUAGAUAUCUGGAGGAACAUCAGUGGCGAAGGCGACACCCUGGACUCAUACUGACACUGAGGUGCGAAAGCGUGGGGAGCAAA
rnacentral:rRNA from 1 species